rnacentral:rRNA from 1 species
CCAGACUCCUACGGGAGGCAGCAGUGGGGGAUAUUGCACAAUGGGGGGAACCCUGAUGCAGCGACGCCGCGUGGGUGAAGGAGCGUUUCGGCGCGUAAAGCCCUAUCGGCAGGGAAGAAGGAGGACGGUACCUGACUAAGAAGCUCCGGCUAAAUACGUGCCAGCAGCCGCGGUAAUACGUAUGGAGCAAGCGUUAUCCGGAUUUACUGGGUGUAAAGGGAGCGCAGGCGGCCUUGCAAGUCUGAUGUGAAAGGCCGGGGCCCAACCCCGGGACUGCAUUGGAAACUGCGUGGCUAGAGUGCAGGAGGGGCAGGCGGAAUUCCUGGUGUAGCGGUGAAAUGCGUAGAUAUCAGGAGGAACACCGGUGGCGAAGGCGGCCUGCUGGACUGCAACUGACGUUGAGGCCCGAAAGCGUGGGGAGCAAACAGGAUUAGAUACCCCCGUA